rnacentral:rRNA from 1 species
AGCGAACGCUGGCGGCAGGCUUAACACAUGCAAGUCGAGCGCCCCGCAAGGGGAGCGGCAGACGGGAGAGUAACACGUGGGAACGUCCCCUUCGGUUCGGAACAACACAGGGAAACUUGUGCUAAUACCGGAUACGUCCGUAAGGAGAAAGAUUCAUCGCCGAGGGAUCGGCCCGCGUCUGAUUAGCUAGUUGGUGGGGUAAUGGCCCACCAAGGCGACGAUCAGUAGCUGGUCUGAGAGGAUGAUCAGCCUCACUGGGACUGAGACACGGCCCAGACUCCUACGGGAGGCAGCAGUGGGGAAUAUUGGACAAUGGGCGCGAGCCUGAUCCAGCCAUGCCGCGUGGAUGAUGAAGGCCUUAGGGUUGUAAAGUACUCUUAACGGGGAAGAUAAUGACGGUACCCGUAGAAUAAGCCCCGGCUAACUUCGUGCCAGCCGCCGCCGUAAUAC